rnacentral:rRNA from 1 species
GAUGAACGCUAGCUACAGGCUUAACACAUGCAAGUCGAGCGGUAGCAGGGUAGCAAUACUGCUGACGACCGGCGCACGGGUGAGUAACACGUAUCCCACCUUCCCAUAACUCGGGGAUAGCCUUUCGAAAGAAAGAUUAAUACCUGAAAGUACUUUUUCAAGGCAUCUUGAGAAAGUUAAAGAUUGAUUGGUCAUGGAUGGGGAUGCGUUCCAUUAGAUAGUUGGUGAGGUAACGGCACGCCAAGUCUUCGAUGGAUAGGGGUUCUGAGAGGAAGGUCCCCCACAUUGGUACUGAGACACAGACCCAACUGCUACGGGAGGCAGCAGUGAGGAAUAUUGGUCAAUGAGCGAGGGCCUGAACCAGCCAAGUAGCGUGAAGGAUGAAGGUCCUAUGGAUUGUAAACUUCUUUUAUAGUAGAAUAAAGUGACCUACGUGUAGGUUUCUGUAUGUGUACUAUGAAUAAGGAUCGGCUAACUCCGUGCCAGCAGCCGCAGUAA